rnacentral:tRNA from 1 species
GCGGUCGUGGUGGAACGGCAGACACGCUGGUCUUAGGAACCAGUCUUCGGGUGCGGGUUCAAAUCCCGCCGACCGCACCA